rnacentral:lncRNA from 1 species
AAGGGUCAGAGUAUGCUUAAAGUCAAUUCAAAAUGAAGUAUUUACAAAAUGAAGUUUUGAAAAUCAUGGACUUAAGGUCCAAGUUUCUAAUUUGGAAAGAGGUGAGAAGGUUUGCACAACACUUAUUUCAAGUUUUUUAAAAGUAUGUGUGAAAAGGUAGGACACAAUGGAAUGAAUGGAUAAUGUGGAAUGUAAAACUUCUUAGAAGGUUCACCUCUUGAAAUCAUAUAGAAGAUGAU